rnacentral:rRNA from 1 species
GACGUAGGGCGCGAGCGUUGUCCGGAUUUAUUGGGCGUAAAGAGCUCGUAGGCGGCUUGUCGCGUCGACUGUGAAAUCCCGCGGCUCAACUGCGGGUCUGCAGCCGAUACGGGCAGGCUAGAGUUCGGUAGGGGAGACUGGAAUUCCUGGUGUAGCGGUGAAAUGCGCAGAUAUCAGGAGGAACACCGGUGGCGAAGGCGGGUCUCUGGGGCCGAUACUGACGCUGAGGAGCGAAAGCGUGGGGAGCGAACAGG